rnacentral:lncRNA from 1 species
UUCUGACUGUCACAAAGACUUUAAGCUGCUGACCAAAAAAGGAUUCUGUAACCUAAACCACAGAAGCAGAAGAGGUGAUUGAAAGAUACAUAUCAGUUUACACCCAAAAUUAAAGUAUCUAGAUAGUAUUCUUUCAUAGAAGAGAAUCUUAUUUCUAGUUCCAGAUGGAAUGAUACUCACAGAAGUGAUUCAUGUCCUGUCUUCAAGUGCUGGCUAAGCUGAGGCUCGGGAAGGGGAGGAGUAGUCUUGAACGGGAACAACUCCUUGUUUCUCCAGUUUUUCCUUCACAUGAUCUGACACAUUUUCUGUGUGCAAAUGCGCAAAAGAGGCCUUGGAGGAGAGGAUCAACAGCUGCACGGCAGAGGAGAUCUAGCCUGGCUUGGUGGUGGAUGGAUAAACAUGGACAGGAUUUGGUACUAGGGCUGUGGACAUUUUGUGUUACCUUUCACAUAAGACACACAGUUGUUAAAGUCAUCUGCUGCUCAUCUUCUCUACUGCCACAGCUACCUGGUGGGCACAAGGCGGGCUUGAAUGAUUCAGAACAGCUGCCAUUUGGAGAGCGCACUCAGAACUGCUUGGAAAUAGCACUGGGAGGAGAGAGUUCUGUGCAGCAGCGAGACAUUCGGGAUGUCCAGGUGGGUGUGUUUUGGAGUGCUGUCUGCCUGUGCAGCCACCUGAAGGUCAAGCAAUGA